GUAUUCAGCCAAUCAGUCGCUGCAGGAAUACUUGCGAAGAUUGCAAACAGUAAAUUGCCAUAAUGACGAGCUUCAACAAGAAGCAACAACGACAGCCAUGCUGAUAGAAAAAAAAUAUACCAGCUGUUCAACACCUUAAAUGGCGAUACGCCUGAUCGGAAAAGAGGACAAAAAUUCCUUACAAAUUUUACCCCAAGAAGCCCACAUUUAAAUUAUUUUA